rnacentral:rRNA from 1 species
UACGUAGGUGGCAAGCGUUUGUCCGGAAUUAUUGGGCGUAAAGCGUGCGCAGGCGGUUGUGUAAGACAGAUGUGAAAAUCCCCGGGCUCAACCUGGGAACUGCAUUUGUGACUGCACAGCUGGAGUGCGGCAGAGGGGGAUGGAAUUCCGCGUGUAGCAGUGAAAUGCGUAGAUAUGCGGAGGAACACCGAUGGCGAAGGCAAUCCCCUGGGCCUGCACUGACGCUCAUGCACGAAAGGCGUGGGGAGCAAACAGG